UACAGAGGGUGCUAGCGUUAAUCGGAAUUACUGGGCGUAAAGCGCGCGCAGGCGGUCCUUCAAGUCAGAGGUGAAAGCCCAGAGCUCAACUCUGGAACGGCCUUUGAAACUAGAGGACUUGGGUACGGGAGAGGUGAGUGGAAUUCCGAGUGUAGAGGUGAAAUUCGUAGAUAUUCGGAAGAACACCAGUGGCGAAGGCGGCUCACUGGCCCGUUACCGACGCUCAGGCGCGACAGCGUGGGGAGCAAACAGG
rnacentral:rRNA from 1 species